CCAAUAGCGUAUAUUAAAGUUGUUGUGGUUAAAAAGCUCGUAGUUGAACCUUGGGCCUGGCUGGCCGGUCCGCCUCACCGCGUGUACUGGUCCGGCCGGGCCUUUCCCUCUGUGGAACCCCAUGCCCUUCACUGGGUGUGGCGGGGAAACAGGACUUUUACUGUGAAAAAAUUAGAGUGCUCCAGGCAGGCCUAUGCUCGAAUACAUUAGCAUGGAAUAAUAGAAUAGGACGUGUGGUUCUAUUUUGUUGGUUUCUAGGACCGCCGUAAUGAUUAAUAGGGAAAGUCGGGGGCAUCAGUAUUCAAUUGUCAGAGGUGAAAUUCUUGGAUUUAUUGAAGACUAACUACUGCGAAAGCAUUUGCCAAGGAUGUUUUCAUUAAUCAGGAACGAAAGUUAGGGGAUCGAAGACGAUCAGAUACCGUCGUAGUCUUAACCAUAAACUAUGCCGACUAGGGAUCGGACGGUGUUAUUUUUUGACCCGUUCGGCACCUUACG
rnacentral:misc_RNA from 1 species